rnacentral:rRNA from 1 species
UUCCAGACUCCUACGGGAGGCAGCAGUGAGGAAUAUUGGUCAAUGGACGCAAGUCUGAACCAGCCAAGUAGCGUGCAGGAUGACGGCCCUCCGGGUUGUAAACUGCUUUUAGUUGGGAAUAAAAGGGGGCUCGUGAGCCCCGUAUUGUAUAUACCAUCAGAAAAAGGACCGGCUAAUUCCGUGCCAGCAGCCGCGGUAAUACGGAGGAUCCGAGCGUUAUCCGGAUUUAUUGGGUUUAAAGGGAGCGUAGGUGGAUUGUUAAGUCAGUUGUGAAAGUUUGCGGCUCAACCGUAAAAUUGCAGUUGAAACUGGCAGUCUUGAGUACAGUAGAGGUGGGCGGAAUUCGUGGUGUAGCGGUGAAAUGCUUAGAUAUCACGAAGAACUCCGAUUGCGAAGGCAGCUCACUGGACUGCAACUGACACUGAGGCUCGAAAGUGUGGGUAUCAAACAGGAUUAGAUACCCGAGUACAC